rnacentral:rRNA from 1 species
CUUAAAUUGAAGAGUUUGAUCAUGGCUCAGAUUGAACGCUGGCGGCAGGCCUAACACAUGCAAGUCGAGCGGAAACGAGUUAUCUGAACCUUCGGGGAACGAUAACGGCGUCGAGCGGCGGACGGGUGAGUAAUGCCUAGGAAAUUGCCCUGAUGUGGGGGAUAACCAUUGGAAACGAUGGCUAAUACCGCAUGAUGCCUACGGGCC